rnacentral:rRNA from 1 species
AUUGAACGCUGGCGGUAUGCUUAACACAUGCAAGUCGAACGGUAACAGGCCUUCGGGCGCUGACGAGUGGCGGACGGGUGAGUAACGCGUAGGAAUCUGCCUCAUAGUGGGGGACAACGUGGGGAAACUCACGCUAAUACCGCAUACGCCCUACGGGGGAAAGCGGGGGAGUCUUCGGACCUCGCGCUAUGAGAUGAGCCUGCGUUAGAUUAGCUAGUUGGUAGGGUAAAGGCCUACCAAGGCGACGAUCUAUAGCUGGUCUGAGAGGACGAUCAGCCACACUGGGACUGAGACACGGCCCAGACUCCUACGGGAGGCAGCAGUGGGGAAUAUUGGACAAUGGGCGCAAGCCUGAUCCAGCAAUACCGCGUGUGUGAAGAAGGCCCUAGGGUUGUAAAGC